rnacentral:rRNA from 1 species
GAGUUUGAUCAUGGCUCAGGAUGAACGCCAGCGACAGGCCUAACACAUGCAAGUCGAGGGGCAGCACAAGGUAGCAAUACUGAGGUGGCGACCGGCGCACGGGUGAGUAACGCGUAUGCAACCUGCCUGUAACAGGGGAAUAGCCUCUUGAAAGAGAGAUUAAUGCCGCAUAAUACGAGAUUCGGGCAUCCGGAUUUAGUUAAACAUUUAUGGGUUACAGAUGGGCAUGCGUUUCAUUAGGUAGUUGGUGAGGUAACGGCUCACCAAGCCGACGAUGAAUAGGGGUUCUGAGAGGAAGGUCCCCCACACUGGUACUGAGACACGGACCAGACUCCUACGGGAGGCAGCAGUGAGGAAUAUUGGUCAAUGGACGCAAGUCUGAACCAGCCAAGUCGCGUGAAGGAUGAAGGUAUUAUGUAUUGUAAACUUCUUUUGUCAGGGAAUAAUGGGUGUCACGUGUGACACAGAGGAAUGUACCUGACGAAUAAGCAUCGGCUAACUCCGUGCCAGCAGCCGCGGUAAUACGGAGGAUGCGAGCGUUAUCCGGAUUUAUUGGGUUUAAAGGGUGCGUAGGCGGUUUGUUAAGUCAGUGGUGAAAGUUUGCGGCUCAACCGUAAAAUUGCCAUUGAAACUGGCGAACUUGAGUACAGUAGAGGUAGGCGGAAUUCGUGGUGUAGCGGUGAAAUGCUUAGAUAUCACGAAGAACUCCGAUUGCGAAGGCAGCUUGCUGGACUGUAACUGACGCUGAGGCACGAAAGCGUGGGGAUCAAACAGGAUUAGAUACCCUGGUAGUCCACGCCGU